rnacentral:rRNA from 1 species
GACGAACGCUGGCGACGUGCUUAACACAUGCAAGUCGAACGGGCCUUGUCCCCUUUUUUUUUGGGGGUGGGGUUAGUGGCGAACGGGUGAGUAACACGUGAGUAACCUGCCCCUCACUUCUGGAUAACCGCUUGAAAGGGUGGCUAAUACGGGGUGUUCUGGCCUGCUCGCAUGGGUGGGUUUGGAAAGAUUCGACCGGUUUUGGUUGUUUUGGUGGGGGAUGGGCUCGCGGCCUAUCAGCUUGUUGGUGGGGUGAUGGCCUGCCAAGGCUUUGACGGGUAGCCGGCCUGAGAGGGUGGGCGGUCACACUGGGACUGAGACACGGCCCAGACUCCUACGGGAGGCAGCAGUGGGGAAUAGUGCACAAUGGGCGCAAGCCUGAUGCAGCGACGCCGCGUGAGGGAUGGAGGCCUUCGGGUUGUGAACCUCUUUCGCCAGUGAAGAAGGUCCUGCUCUUUGUGGUGGGGUUGACGGUAGCUGGGUUAAUGAAGCGCCGGCUAACUACGUG